rnacentral:rRNA from 1 species
AUUGAACGCUGGCGGCAGGCCUAACACAUGCAAGUCGAGCGGAUGAAGGGAGCUUGCUCCUGGAUUCAGCGGCGGACGGGUGAGUAAUGCCUAGGAAUCUGCCUGGUAGUGGGGGAUAACGUCCGGAAACGGGCGCUAAUACCGCAUACGUCCUGAGGGAGAAAGUGGGGGAUCUUCGGGCCUCACGCUAUCAGAUGAGCCUAGGUCGGAUUAGCUAGUUGGUGGGGUAAAGGCCUACCAAGGCGACGAUCCGUAACUGGUCUGAGAGGAUGAUCAGUCACACUGGAACUGAGACACGGUCCAGACUCCUACGGGAGGCAGCAGUGGGGAAUAUUGGACAAUGGGCGAAAGCCUGAUCCAGCCAUGCCGCGUGUGUGAAGAAGGUCUUCGGAUUGUAAAGCACUUUAAGUUGGGAGGAAGGGCAGUAAGUUAAUACCUUGCUGUUUUGACGUGACCAACAGAAUAAGCACCGGCUAACUUCGU